UUAUAAUAUAUUCCACAAUGUGAUAAUUCUGAGAAUAAGGACUUUUGUAGCAACAGAAAUAAAACAAUUUUAAAAAAAACUUAUUUGCAACCAUAAUAACUAAUCACAAAAGAAUAGGUAUGUUGCCACUGUACUCUCUUUAAUAAAACCAGCAGAUAUUAAAUCAAAACAGAGAGAAUGCAUGGCCACGCGAACAGAAUCCCAUCCACUCUACUUAAAAACUCCAGAUCCAUGUUUUGAGAGUUCUUGGCUGAUGACCGAGAAGUCUCUUUACCUGGAUAGUGCUCCAAUGUAUCACUCCGCAGGGUCAGUGAGACUUUUUUUUCAUAACAUGUAUUACGCGAUCUGACCCAAAACGCUGCAAUUUACAUAUAUUUGUAUUUGUGCCUUUGCAUAAGCUCAUUUUUUUAUAAAUGGUUUAUUCCUCCUGGACCAUUAUUUUAUCUAAUACGUGUAAUUUAACAUUUUAUUGGACCUAUUUCCGCGCCUAACGUUGACAGGCAGUGCUUAGGUCUCUCCUAAACAUGGCCACCAUGAUGGAGUAAAUGCUUCAACUUUAAAUUUCACAUUUUCAGAAGAAAACUUAAUUUUCUGUAUUCUAACAGGAAUGUUCCAACGGAAGAAAUUAUGUCAAACAUAAUCCAUAUGAAAUAUUUGAAGAAAGUUUCUUGUUGGAUUUAAUACUGGUUUAAGUUGGCUGGAAGCUGGAAAGGAAAAAAAAAGAAUUGCAUCAAUUCCAAUGUCAUCAGAGUACAAGAGUCUGGAUCCCUCUGACCACGGACCGUCUCCUCCCCUGAGCAGCACUGGGGGGGGCUCCCCCUCAGACAGCCCCUCCCCUGCCUCCACAGACAGGCGCCCCCGUGGCCGGCCUCGUAAGGAUGCAGGCGCGCCCACGCGAGUACCCACACCUCAAAAGAAGGGUCGUAGCAGAGGCCAGUCCCAGGCUGAGGAUGAGGACAGCAUGGACGGGACGGAGACCACUGAAGCCCAGAACAUGCAGGAGAUGGAAGUUAAGGAGCUGGUCCUGGAUGUUGAGGAGGUCAUCGUGCCCCUGUUGUCCAGCCCUGUUCCCAGCCCCAGGGACGGCAGACCCCUUUCUCCACUCUUCCAGCGCUCUGUGUCGGAGGACUCAGCAGGAUCCUCUGCCUCGGCCCUGGAGCACGCCAAAAUCCGGUAAGGAGGGGCAGUGUGGUUGGAGUAGAGGGGGGUACAAAUUGAUAUAGAGGUGUCUGUAUGCAAGAUGGACAGAAUAAGGUAGCAGGGUAGUAAAAAGGCAAAUUAGAUUCCAAUAAGAGACUGAAAUUCUAGCCAUUCUCAGAGAGAGUGUGACAGAGGAGGGAGAGGGUCACAGUACAGAGAAGGAGAGACUAUCAAAUAGAAGCCAUUAGAGAGCGAGAAAAUGACUGUUUCAGACAUGGUGUGUGUGUGAGGCGGCGGCGAGUGAGAACUGUGUGUGUGGUUAACAGUGGCUGGGUUGCAAGGCGUGUGUAUAUGGGUGUUUGUGCACCCUAUAAAACGAGUCUGAGUGGAGAGGGAGGUAGAGUGUGUGUGUGUUGAGA
rnacentral:lncRNA from 1 species